UUUGGCUUGGAUUCUUCCUUUAGUUCUGAGCUCUUCUUCGUUCAUUUUCUCUACUUGUUUUUCAUUCUGGAGACGCACUGGGAGAAUCCAAGAGCCCCCCAGGCUUCUUCUCUCUACACACCUUUGCAGGGGGUUAGAAACAAGAUAUAAAUGAAGAGAGUCCCUGAUCUCAUAUAUGUAUUACGGAUAUGGAAAAAGAAAUAAAGAGCUUCUUUGAGGGUCUGAAGAAGAAAGAAAAUGUUUUCUGCAACACGAAAGCUGAACAAACUUCAUUUGCAUCAAGAGAUGAAACUUUUUUUCCGGAGACCAGUCGGUAUGUAGGAAGAGACUGCAGCGCCAACGCUGUAGGUGCAAUACAAUAGGCCUCAUUCAGAGGCAACUCUGCAUGUGCUGCAAACGCUGAUGGAUCAUAAAGAAGGAGGGAGAAAGAGAGCAGGCAUUGGAUCGGCUGUAGUGACAGCUGCAUCAUGGAGAUCAGGAGGGAGGCGUCGCCCCAGGCACAACAGGAGACGCCAUGAGAGCGAACGCUCGGCCCGUUAAGUAGGACCACUUUAUCCUGUCAAUACCUUCAGCAGAGCGUUAUUGACUUGAACUUUGAGAGAGUCGCUGUGUUACAAAGGAGGGAAAGAAAGACUUGAAUACAAAAAUGUUUAA